GGGCUCAUAGCUCAGUUGGUUAGAGCGCUACACUGAUAAUGUAGAGGUCCCUAGUUCGAAUCUAGGUGGGCCCA
rnacentral:tRNA from 1 species